UACGUAGGGUGCAAGCGUUAAUCGGAAUUACUGGGCGUAAAGCGUGCGCAGGCGGUUGUGCAAGACCGAUGUGAAAUCCUCGGGCUUAACCUGGGAAUGGCAUUGGUGACUGCACGGCUAGAGUGUGUCAGAGGGGGUAGAAUUCCACGUGUAGCAGUGAAAUGCGUAGAGAUGUGGAGGAAUACCGAUGGCGAAGGCAGCCCCCUGGGAUAACACUGACGCUCAUGCACGAAAGCGUGGGGAGCAAACAGG
rnacentral:rRNA from 1 species